GGCGAGAUGAAGCUGGGGAAAUGGGCUGGGCCCUUACAUGGCAACUCAAGAGUCCACACUCCAUCCCUGAGUCACUGGGAGAGGCAACACAGGCUUCAUCACGAUAGGAGAGUAAUCCCAUUUCCUGCUUUGGGGCGACUUUGCUCUUAACAUGCAGAGGAGCCAGAGGCGGGAGCUGGGAGAAGAGAGACUGUUAGGAGGCUGCUGAAAUAGUCCAGGCGAGAGAUCUUGAAGCCCUGAACGUCAAUAUGUGCGGCACGAAGAGGAAGAAUCGAAUCUGAGCCAUUUGGUAUUUGCAAUGGAAAGGACCUCCUAACAGGAGGGGUGAGAUGUGGGAGGAGGAUUUCCAGGCUUUUCAGUUGGCUUGUGACACUACCCAAGACAGGAAGAGAGAGUGAAGUGUCGUUUUGGGCAUGUUGUUUUGGACAUGCUUCAUAAAGCCUGCGCUUCCUAUAAGAUCACACCUUCCACCUCAGCCCCUAGUCCUGGGACCAGAGCCACCAAGAGGACCUAAAUCAAGGUGAAUGAGGGAAGGUUGGUGGCCAGUUACAUUUUGCACUAUAAAACCCCAAACUUCCCUCUAGCAAAUCCCUGUGUUGGUUUUGUAUUUGCUUUCUUUUUGGCUUCUAAACUCCUUACAAUAGACUCAAUGUUCUAUUAUCAUCAUUAAGAUAAAACAGCAGGUCUCAGUAUGUACUGAAUACUUUUUUAAAACAUAACAUCGGACCUACAAAAAAGUUGCUAAAACAGUGAAGAAUUCCUGGACAAUCUUUACCCAGAUACCCCAAAAGUUAGCAUUUUACUACAUUUGCCUUAUCUAUCAUCUAUCUCCCUUUAAAUUUUUUCUUUUACCAUUUAAGAGUGAAUUGGAGACCUGAUGCCCUAUUCCCUUAAAUAGUUAUGUACAUUUCCUAAAAGCCUGCCUAAAAAUUCUGCCUCUCAAAACCACAGUACAAUUAUCUAAAUCACAAUGUUAACAUUGAUGGAACACAAUUAUCUAGUCUAUAAUCCUUCCUCAGAUUUUGCCAAUUGUUCCUAUAAUGUCCUUUCUAGCCAAAGAAAACCCAGUUACGUGUUGCAUUUGCUUGUCAUGUCCACGGACAUCUAGAAUAGUUCCUGAAUCUUUUUAUUUCAUGGCGUUGACAUAUUUGAAGUGAACAGCCCAGUUAUCUUGUAGAAUGCCC
rnacentral:lncRNA from 10 species